rnacentral:rRNA from 1 species
UACAGAGGGUGCGAGCGUUGUCCGGAAUCACUGGGCGUAAAGGGCGCGUAGGCGGCUCGGUAAGGUUGCGGUGAAAGCCCGGGGCUCAACCCCGGGUCGGCCGUGGCAACUGCUGGGCUUGAGCACUGUAGAGGCAGGUGGAAUUCCGGGUGUAGCGGUGGAAUGCGUAGAGAUCCGGAAGAACACCGGUGGCGAAGGCGGCCUGCUGGGCAGUGACUCGCAAGAGUCAGAAGCUGACGCUGAGG